GCGGUCCAAAGAUGCGGUUCACAGUGAGAAUAAGAUCUUGAGUGCGAUCCAACGGCUAAGAUUCAAUCCAACCCAGAUCCGAUGGUUCAGACUCGUUGCCGACUUUGAAUAGGACUCUUUUGCGCAAUCCGACGGUCCAGAAGCAAUCCAUCAUGCGAUCCAAUGGCUAUUAUCAUUUUCGACUGUGUUAAGGAUUCUUUUGCAUGAUCUGAUGACCAGAACUUCAUCAGAAUCCA
rnacentral:lncRNA from 1 species